rnacentral:misc_RNA from 1 species
UUGAGUGUUCUUGGUUCUACAUCAUUACCCAUUGAGAAUAAGUUGGGGGAGUGUUGACUUAGAUGGUUUAGCUUGUCCAGCAUAGGUUGAUGUGGUACUGAAGACUAAGAACAUUGAAGUUGCAGGAAUAAAGAUGAAAGAGAGACCAAUGAUGACUUUAAGUGAAGUGGUUCAGAAAGAUUUAGCACCGCUAGACGUCUCCAGAAUCCCUAAGUGAGCAAAAUAGAGGAAAAUGAUCCUUAUAUUGACCUGAACUAGUUUAGGUUGAGACUGAUUGGACUAUUUUUACAAAACAAAAUCAAGCAAAAAAAAGAAAAGGCCAAACCCAUUACUAAAACUUUGU